AUGUCGAGGUCGUCGGACCCACGGACUGUGUCCGUGGAGGAGCUCAUGGAAGGCGGCGACCCGGCCGCGCUCGACGCCGUCGCCGCAGACCGGCCAGACCACUGGGACCCGGCCCUCGUGGUCCACUGCUCGUCGGCGACCAACAAGGUGGCCAUGACGCACGCCGACCUGAUCGCCGCCGUGGCUGGCGUGGCCUCACCCGACGAAGACCGGGUCUGCCUUGCCACACUCCCGGCGUGGGGAACCAGCGUCCACGGCGGCGUGGCACUGCUCGCCCUCGGGCUCCCGGCGGCCGGAGCCACCACGGUGCUCCUGCCGCCUUCCUCCGACCUGCGGGCCGCGGUGGCCGCCCAUGGCGCCACCGACGUCGUGGCGACCCCCGAGGCGGCCGCAGCGCUCUUUGCUCCCGGGCUGCCGCAGGGGAAGCUCGCCACGCUGCGGAGGGUGAUAGUGGUGACGCCGCUCGCAGAUGACGCACGGCAGGCGUUCCGCCGCAGGCUAUCGUGGGUCGAUCUGGCUGAGAUAUCCGGCGCGCUGGAGAUGGGAGCAGCGACGGCGGAGUCGCCGGAGCAGGUGAAGGUGGCUCCUGCACCUCUGGGGCCUCUGCUGCUCGUGCAACCUGAUGCUGCAGCCACACAGCUGAAGGGCAAAAUACCAGACCAAAUGCCAUCGCCAAGCGAGGCUACCUCUCUGGUGUCGCCGCUUCAGAAGAUCCAAAAGACUGUUCUCAGUGACGCCUUCGCAAAAUCAGUCGCGGGCAAGUUCUUGAGGAGGAGCCCGGUGGCCUGCGACAAACAAGCCGUCUCAAAACUGUAG
rnacentral:rRNA from 1 species